GGUUCAAAAAAUGCCAAACGCACCAAUAACCUAUCUGAGAAGUCAGUGAGAGUUCACAGAUAAAAGAUUAGGAUCGAUACUCUACAGAGCCAGCCUGGAUCCGCGAGACGAAUUGUCACAAUAGUGUUGUACAGAAGUACUUGUAUCAAACUUUGACAAAAAUAAAUUUUAUUAUUUUAGUUUACAAUGUAUAAAAUACGCAAUUCUUCUGACUGAAAUAAAUCUGAUAUAAGAAAAAACGAAAAAAGAGAGAGAGAGAGAGAGAGCGAGAGAAAAACGCCGGAGCGAUUUCAAUCCCUAGCUCUGGCUGGCCGGUUUGGCUGUGUCGGAGGCGAUUCUCCUUCCCCUUCUUCAUUUGUUCUUUGCUUUCCUUUCCCCAGUUCAAGACCGAGACGAUAUGCAUGCUAUUCUGACGUGAUCGUUUCCUCCGGAGCUCGUGUUGUGGUCGGAGAUGGUACUCUUCGUUUGGAGUGGAGGCGAGUCUAGGGCUAGGCUGAGAAAAGGAGGAUCGGCUUUUAGGAUUGAAGGAUAUGUCAGAUCUAAUUUUCCCUUUUUAGAUCUAGGGUUUAUCCUUCCCAACGAUGGCACGUGAAUCGAGAUUGGCGACUCUUUUAGCUUGAAAUCACCUCCUUACAUGAUGGUGAGAAUGGUGGAGGAGAGGUGUGAUAAACAGACGUAGGAGGCUUGGACAUGAUGAUGUAUCCUGAAGCUUUCAACAGGGUCCCGCUUGCGUUUUUCCAUUGCCAAGAUCCGUCUUUCAGUCUGGAUUACUGUCCGGCUUUGGCCAUGGUGCAAGACGGCGAACGACAGUGGCAUGAAUCGAAGUUGGUCUGCGCCUUUAGGUGAUGAUGCUGCUGUGUUACGGACUCGACUCAUAUCCUAUGGAAUCCUCAAUUUUGAACUUGUAUUGGAAUCCAUUUUAAUUCUUGGUUGCAGUAUUUUCAUGGCUUCUGCAUUACAUGGUCUUUUAGGAGUAGUUUUUCAGUCGGAUUCUAUGUUCGUUUGGGGCUAGAGACAGUAACAAUUGAACGCCAGCGGAUACAAGCUUCUCUCAGAAAUGCGCCUUCGGGUGAAGAUGCUAUUGACCACAUACAGAAUGACGAUCCUAUGAGGGGUCUAAGAGGUGAGUUUCAUUUCGAGUCGUGGAGUGAGCUCAUUCUCGUUGUGGUUGAAAAUGCAAUGGUGUUUCAGUCGGGUAGUUUGAAUCCAAAUAAGUGAUUUAGGGUGUUACAAGAUUACAUCAUUGCAUGGUCAAAUUAUGUAGAGGUUAAAUUGUUUGUACUUGAAUGAAAUUUGAUGUUGAGUUAAAAAAAAAAAUCUGAUAUUAAUAUGUUGUUAUUUAAAAAAACUAUGCUUGGAGUA